rnacentral:tRNA from 1 species
GUAGCUCAGUGGUAGAGCACAUCUUUAGCACAAAUGAGGCCCUGGGUUCAAUUGCCAGC